rnacentral:rRNA from 1 species
GAGUUUGAUCCGGCUCAGGAUGAACGCUANCGGCAGGCUUAACACAUGCAAGUCGAGGGGUACGAUUUCGAGCAAUCGAAAGGCGACGACCGGCGCACGGGUGAGUAACGCGUAUGCAACCUACCUCUGACUGGGGGAUAGCUCCCGGAAACGGGAAUUAAUACCCCAUAAUAUUCUGAAUUCGCAUGUUUUCAGGAUUAAAGCUCCGGCGGUUAGAGACGGGCAUGCGUGACAUUAGUUUGUUGGUGAGGUAACGGCUCACCAAGACUACGAUGUCUAGGGGGUCUGAGAGGAUGGUCCCCCACACUGGUACUGAGACACGGACCAGACUCCUACGGGAGGCAGCAGUGAGGAAUAUUGGGCAAUGGACGCAAGUCUGACCCAGCCAUGCCGCGUGCAGGAAGACAGCCCUAUGGGUUGUAAANUGCUUUUAUUUGGGAANAAACCCCCGU